GGCGUCUUGGAGAAGUGGUUAACUCACUCCCUUUGGGCUUAGGCAUAAUGGGAGAGGUCAGGGGUUCGAACCCCCUAGGCGCCC
rnacentral:tRNA from 1 species